rnacentral:ncRNA from 1 species
GAACUGAAGAGUUUGAUCAUGGCUCAGAUUGAACGCUGGCGGCAGGCCUAACACAUGCAAGUCGAGCGGAUGAAGAGAGCUUGCUCUUGGAUUCAGCGGCGGACGGGUGAGUAAUGCCUAGGAAUCUGCCUAGUAGUGGGGGACAACAGUUGGAAACG